CGGUUUUGUCGAUGAACGAAGAGGGAAUUGGGUUAGGUUUAAGUCAACCAAAUCCCAGGCCGCCCCCGCGACUGUAUGCGAAGAGCGGGUUUCGAAUUUGCCACUCACCCUAUUUGGUGGGGAAGGUCGAAGCCACGUGAUGAGACGCAAGCCAGGAGACCUGCCGGGCUGA
rnacentral:ncRNA from 1 species